rnacentral:rRNA from 1 species
GUCGGGAAUUUUGGGCAAUGGGGGAAACCCUGACCCAGCAACGCCGCGUGAAGGAUGAAGUAUUUCGGUAUGUAAACUUCGAAAGAAUAGGAAGAAUUAAUGACGGUACUAUUUAUAAGGUCCGGCUAACUACGUGCCAGCAGCCGCGGUAAUACGUAGGGACCAAGCGUUGUUCGGAUUUACUGGGCGUAAAGGGCGCGUAGGCGGCGCGGUAAGUCACUUGUGAAAUCUCUGAGCUUAACUCAGAACGGCCAAGUGAUACUGCAGUGCUAGAGUGCAGAAAGGGCAAUCGGAAUUCUUGGUGUAGCGGUGAAAUGCGUAGAUAUCAAGAGGAACACCUGAGGCGAAGGCGGGUUGCUAGGCUGACACUGACGCUGAGUGCGCGAAAGCCAGGGGAGCAAACGGGAUUAGAAACCCGAGUAGUCC